GACGAACGCUGGCGGCGUGCCUAAUACAUGCAAGUUGAGCGCUGAAGGUUGGUACUUGUACCAACUGGAUGAGCAGCGAACGGGUGAGUAACGCGUGGGGAAUCUGCCUUUGAGCGGGGGACAACAUUUGGAAACGAAUGCUAAUACCGCAUAAAAACUUUAAACACAAGUUUUAAGUUUGAAAUAUGCAAUUGCAUCACUCAAAGAUGAUCCCGCGUUGUAUUAGCUAGUUGGUGAGGUAAAGGCUCACCAAGGCGAUGAUACAUAGCCGACCUGAGAGGGAGAUCGGCCACAUUGGGACUGAGACACGGCCCAAACUCCUACGGGAGGCAGCAGUAGGGAAUCUUCGGAAAUGGACGAAAGUCUGACCGAGCAACGCCGCGUGAGUGAAGAAGGUUUUCGGAUCGUAAAACUCUGUUGGUAGAGAAGAACGUUGGUGAGAGUGGAAAGCUCAUCAAGUGACGGUAACUACCCAGAAAGGGACGGCUAACUACGUG
rnacentral:rRNA from 1 species